CCUACGGGGGGCAGCAGUGGGGGAUAUUGCACAAUGGGCGAAAGCCUGAUGCAGCGACGCCGCGUGAGGGAAGACGGUCUUCGGAUUGUAAACCUCUGUCUUUGGGGAAGAAAAUGACGGUACCCAAAGAGGAAGCUCCGGCUAACUACGUGCCAGCAGCCGCGGUAAUACGUAGGGAGCACGCGGUGUCCGGAAUUACUGGGUGUAAAGGGAGCGUAGGCGGGAUGGCAAGUAGCAGGUUAAAUCCAGGGGCUCAACCUGUGGCGGCGUUCUAAACGGCCGUACUUGAGUGAGAUAGAGGAAGGCGGAAUUCCAAGUGUAGCGGUGAAAUGCGGAGAUAUUAGGAGGAACACCAGAGGCGAAGGCGGCCUGCUGGGUUUUAACUGACGCUGAGGCUCGAAAGCGUGGGGAGCAAACAGGAUUAGAUACCCGAGUAGUC
rnacentral:rRNA from 1 species